CAUAGAUCAGCUCAGUGAAUUCCAGAGGAAGUAACAGCAAUACUCCAGAGCUGCCAGGAGAAAAGCUCAGUGGAAAAGCAUGAAGACUGUAGACAGAGUGAACCCAAGUUCAGCACAGUCUAGCAAACAUGAUGGCAAGAUGUGUCUUUAUUACCUAUUACAAGCUGCCUGCUCUGUUCUCGGAAAAAUGAUCAAAUCUGUUACCUCCUGAAAGCCAGUCACUGAGAGAUGCUCCUCCCCUGUCCACCUACCUGGAGCUGCAUCUGCCCUGCCUAGGGUCCUCACACAAUCUUCCACGCCAUGAUUUAUGGUGAGAAAGGUAUCUACAUCCUCCAUUAGACUGUGAGUUCCUCAAAGGCAGAGACCAUGUCAUCCAAAGUUCUU